rnacentral:tRNA from 1 species
GCCCGUACCGCCUGUGAACCUCCUUGGUAAGGAGAGGGUCGACGGUUCGAGUCCGUCAGAGGGCU